GGCUUUCAUAAUGUUGGCCAGGCUGGUCUCGAACUCCUGACCUCAAGUGAUCCUUCUGCCUCAGCCUUUCAAAGUGCUAGGAGUACAGACAAGAAGUACUGCUUUAAUAAACGUGAACCGAUGUGCACUCCUGUAUGUUUGAAACUAAGAAGCCUAAGGUGAAUUAAAGAAUCUGUGGUUCUUGUGGGUCCUGCAGGUUACAAACUUGUGAAAAAUCUUUGACUUUAUACAUCCCACUGCCCUACCCUGUUGGAAAAGACCAAUCCUGGGCUGGGGUGCAGUGGCAUGAUCUCUGCUCACUGAAACCUCUGCCUCCCUGAUUCAAGCGAUUCUACCGCCUCAGCCUCACGAAUAGCUGGGAUUACAGGUGUGCACCACCGUGCCUGGCUAAUUUUGGGAGAUGUUAGCUGAAUUCUACACUGGCUGAUAAAAGCAUACCACCGGAAUGCUGAAGCCCUGAUGGAAGAUGAAUAGAAACCGGACACUCCCACAGAGGGCUGGUUAGCUGGUGCACCAUCCCAUUUGCUCUUGGACUCUGCUCACUUCACCUCUCGGUGUGACUUUGCGAUGGCUGGAGCUGUGCCAGGCCUGCUACCCCUGGACACCUGAUGAUAUCAAGAGGACUAAGGGCCCCUGAAAUUUCAGAAAUGCUGAAUCCGUGGCAAAAGAGAUGUUAUUGGUGCCCUGAGUUCUUGUAAUCUCCAAGGAGAGAAAUCAAGAGGGAUCACCAGACAUAGCAGCCAAAAAGAAAGAGAAAAAUUUAUUUUAGCUUGUGUGCAAGGAAGUCAGCACUGCAAAAGGAAAAGCAACAAGGAACUCUCUAAUUCCUAUCUGACAGUUCACAGAGAUGUGAAUCGUGGAUGCUCCUUCAAUUGUCUGUGCUUAUGGAAGGUGCUAGGAAACUGAGCACCCAUGUCUAAUCUCCAGCUCCUAUUUUGGACACUAAAAGUGCUGCUCUACAAGGAAUAUGGAGAAUCCAUUCAACUUUUGCGUUGUAUUCCACUGAUACACACAAUGUUCUUUAAAUCUCGUGGUCAGAAAAAUGCUGUGUGCUUCACUAGUUGACAUUUCAUCUAUAUUUUCCAGUGACAUUUGUUUUAACACUUUACAUAGCAAUGGACCAAAAAAAAAAUACAUAUCUCUCUAGCCAAGACCAGUAUGAGCCACGUAAGACUCACAGGAAAGCAAUUAACUUAGUACUCUGAAAGUGACAUUUUAAAAAUUUUUUUUCAACAGUUAUUUAGAAGAAAGGCUAAGAGCAGUAUGUGGAAAGCUAAAAACAUAAAAAAAAAAAUUUACCUCAUCACUGU
rnacentral:lncRNA from 1 species